rnacentral:snRNA from 1 species
GUCUACUAUCCAGCGAAACCA